UACGGGGGGGGGCAAGCGUUGUUCGGAAUUACUGGGCGUAAAGGGCGCGUAGGCGGCCUGCUAAGUCGGAUGUGAAAUCCCUCGGCUCAACCGAGGAACUGCAUCCGAUACUGGCGGGCUUGAAUCCGGGAGAGGGAUGUGGAAUUCCAGGUGUAGCGGUGAAAAUGCGUAGAUAUCUGGAGGAACACCGGUGGCGAAGGCGGCAUCCUGGACCGGUAUUGACGCUGAGGUGCGAAAAGCGUGGGGGAGCAAACAGGG
rnacentral:rRNA from 1 species